GAUCAUGGCUCAGGAUGAACGCUGGCGGCGUGCUUAACACAUGCAAGUCGAGCGAAGCACUUUGGAAAGAUUCUUCGGAUGAUUUCCUUUGUGACUGAGCGGCGGACGGGUGAGUAACGCGUGGGUAACCUGCCUCAUACAGGGGGGAUAACAGUUAGAAAUGACUGCUAAUACCGCAUAAGACCACGGUACCGCAUGGUACAGUGGUAAAAACUCCGGUGGUAUGAGAUGGACCCGCGU
rnacentral:rRNA from 1 species